UAACCUGCCCUGGAGUGGGGAAUAACAGCUGGAAACAGCUGCUAAUACCGCAUAAUGCAGUUGGGCCGCAUGGCUCUGACUGCCAAAGAUUUAUCGCUCUGGGAUGGACUCGCGUCUGAUUAGCUAGUUGGUGGGGCAACGGCCCACCAAGGCGACGAUCAGUAGCCGGACUGAGAGGUUGGCCGGCCACAUUGGGACUGAGACACGGCCCAGACUCCUACGGGAGGCAGCAG
rnacentral:rRNA from 1 species